GAUGAAGAACGCAGCGAAAUGCGAUAAGUAAUGUGAAUUGCAGAAUUCAGUGAAUCAUCGAAUCUUUGAACGCACAUUGCGCCCGCCAGUAUUCUGGCGGGCAUGCCUGUUCGAGCGUCAUUACAACCCUCAGGCCCCCGGGCCUGGCGUUGGGGAUCGGCGGAGCCCCCCGUGGGCACACGCCGUCCCCCAAAUGCAGUGGCGGUCCCGCCGCAGCUUCCAUCGCGUAGUAGCUAACACCUCGCGACUGGAGAGCGGCGCGGCCACGCCGUAAAACACCCAACUCUUCUGAAGUUGACCUCGAAUCAGGUAGGAAUACCCGCUGAACUUAAGCAUAUCAAUAAGCCGAGGA
rnacentral:misc_RNA from 1 species